rnacentral:rRNA from 1 species
GAGUUUGAUCAUGGCUCAGAUUGAACGCUGGCGGCAUGCUUUACACAUGCAAGUCGAACGGCAGCACGAGUGCUUGCACUUGGUGGCGAGUGGCGAACGGGUGAGUAAUGCAUUGGAACGUGCCUUGUAUUGGGGGAUAACUGAGCGAAAGCUUAGCUAAUACCGCAUACGCCCUGAGGGGGAAAGCUGGGGAUCGUUUGACCUGGCGAUAUAAGAGCGGCCAAUGUCUGAUUAGCUAGUUGGUGAGGUAAAGGCUUACCAAGGCGACGAUCAGUAGCGGGUCUGAGAGGAUGAUCCGCCACACUGGGACUGAGAGACGGCCCAGACUCCUACGGGAGGCAGCAGUGGGGAAUUUUGGACAAUGGGGGGAACCCUGAUCCAGCCACGCCGCGUGUCUGAAGAAGGCCUUCGGGUUGUAAAGGACUUUUGUUGGGGAGCAAAGGUAUCUGGUUAAGAGCUGGAGAUUAUGAGAGA